rnacentral:lncRNA from 1 species
CAUCGUGGGUGGUUAUUUUGUGAACAGUUGAGAUGAAGAUAACCAGGUUUUGGCUCUGAUACCAAUUUGAUGUAGAAUGAUUAAUUCAAUAAAGAUAACAAGAAGAGAUAUAGGAGAAGGAAGAAGAAAGGAUGAUCGAGAGUGGGGUUCCAUGAAUAGAGGUGGCGACCACGGAGUGGUCUGAUUUCUGGGUUACUGUGACUGUCUGCAGUUAUUGUUCAUCGUGGGUGGUUAUUUUGUGAACAGUUGAGAUGAAGAUAACCAGGUUUUGGCUCUGAUACCAAUUUGAUGUAGAAUGAUUAAUUCAAUAAAGAUAACAAGAAGAGAUAUAGGAGAAGGAAGAAGAACAAGAAAUAGGGCAGAAGAGGGAGAAGAGAUGGCAGCAGCCAAACCAAUAAUUCUCAAUCAAUUCAUCGUCCAAAAUUACAAACCAAGAUAGGUUUAAAUAAUAAAAACCUAGAAAUAUAGGGCCAAGCCCAUUAUUUAAGUCCUAACUAAAAUACGUAAAUUUAAAUAAAAGUCCAACUGAAACAAUAAUAAAAGUCCAACUAAAAUACUGAAACAAUAAUAAAAGUCCAACUAUAAUGAUGUCCUCAUCAC